AUCGGAUGAACAAUUUUUUUGCAUUUCUGCGUGGAGUGGCCUUGCACUGAACGCCAAACUUCUAAACUGCAGUUUUUCUCGCCAAUUUUCUCGACAUCGUUCAAAACUUUUGAUGAACGUCAAACGGGGUUAGAUUUUCUUGCCGUUUCGUUUACUCGAGUUUGAAAUUUGGGUUUUUUUCUGGCCAACUAAAAAGCGAUAUUUACAGGAGGAGGAACAAGCAACAUGUCUUGUGAAGAUAUAACAAAGCACAAUGGAGCUGAAGAACCAAAGAAGCAAAACAAGUCUUCACAUGGAAACGAGUGGAUUUAUGGAGAAAUUUUAAAUGGUGAAUUGCAGAAAAACGCCUUCAUAGGAAUGUCUUACGGACCACCGCCGAAGAAACUGAAAACUGAGGGCGAAGAGGAAAAACAAAUAGAACAGGAUCGAUCCA